GGCUCCAUGGUCAAGUGGUUAAGACACAGCCCUCUCAAGGCUGUAUCAUGGGUUCAAAUCCCAUUGGAGUCA
rnacentral:tRNA from 1 species